GGAUGGAUGUCUGAGUGGUUUAAGGUACCGGUUUUGAAAACCGGAGCAUUGUUCUAGUGCCGGGGGUUCGAAUCCCUCUCCAUCCG